AACGAACGCUGGCGGCAGGCCUAACACAUGCAAGUCGAGCGCGCCCUUCGGGGUGAGCGGCGGACGGGUGAGUAACGCGUGGGAACGUGCCCUUCUCUGCGGAAUAGCCUCGGGAAACUGAGAGUAAUACCGCAUACGCCCUUUGGGGGAAAGAUUUAUCGGAGAAGGAUCGGCCCGCGUUGGAUUAGGUAGUUGGUGGGGUAAUGGCCCACCAAGCCGACGAUCCAUAGCUGGUUUGAGAGGAUGAUCAGCCACACUGGGACUGAGACACGGCCCAGACUCCUACGGGAGGCAGCAGUGGGGAAUCUUAGACAAUGGGGGCAACCCUGAUCUAGCCAUGCCGCGUGAGUGAUGAAGGCCUUAGGGUUGUAAAGCUCUUUCAGCUGGGAAGAUAAUGGCGGUACCAGCAGAAGAAGCCCCGGCUAACUCCGUG
rnacentral:rRNA from 1 species